rnacentral:lncRNA from 1 species
AGAGAGUGGCCAUGCGCUCGCAGCGCGCGCUCACUGGGUCUUGUGGUUUCCGGUCUGGUCCAAUCACCGCGCGAGGAGCAGAGCUCGUCUCAUUCAAACACAAACAGUCUGAACGCGUUCUCCUCCUGGACGGAACCAUGCGGUUCCCCGGUUCGGUUCUGGUCUUCGUUCUGCUCGUUUUCUACGUUUCCGGGUCAUCAGAUGCAGAUCUGAAGAUCAUCACUGCUGCACCUGGAGAGGAUGUCAUUCUGACAUUUGAAGCUCCAGAAAACAUGAUAGCUUUGGAGUGGACCAGACUCGACUUCCAGGAGGGAGAAUAUGUGUUUGUAUACAGGAAUGGUGGUAUUAAUCUAGACGAGCAGCAUGAAUCCUUCAAGAAUCGAGUGUUUCUGAAUAUCAGUCAGAUGAAGAAUGGAGAUCUGUCUGUGGUUCUGAAGAACGUGACGGUUAAUGACAGCGGAACAUACCAGUUUUCAGGCAUACGAGAGCAUGAUCCAGAUAGAGAAAUGAUUCCGAUUGGCAGAGUCCGUCUGUCGGUGAUUCCUCCAGGUGAGCAUUGA